rnacentral:tRNA from 1 species
UAAAUGAAGUCCGCUGGAUUGAGUGUUUAGUUGGCUAAGUUGUUACAUCGUUGGAGUUUGUCUUGUAG